AAUCCAUAUGGAAGAAAAGGAAAUCAACUUCCUCAAGUAUUGGAGUGGAGAGAAACAGUUCUCCCAGGCACUCAGAACUUGCUGGCCCUCAGUGGAAGCACAGUUCCACUCCUCCCUGCAUCUGAGCAAGGCAGUGCAUCAGGACCCAAGGCUGAGUUCUCACCAAGGGAAACGAGCAGAAGUGGAGCUCUUCAGGAGGACCCAGACAAGUGGGACAGACUUGAAGCCACAUUUUCUCUCUUCCAUCUAUGUGCUUAGAGGUCAAGUCACAAGCAGUGCUGGUAUUAAACGAAAGUCUCCCGAAUGCUUCCAAUCAUUCUAGCAUCUGCUAUAUUACAUCCCUAGCUCGUUAGAAGUCCUUGAUGGACAGAUACAGAACGGCAGAGUGGUAGGAUGUUAUCGCCAAAGCAGACCUGAGGAUCACGAAAAGAAGUGAUCACGGAAAACCUCCGAGAUAUGCCAGGUGACAUAACAGCAUGGCAGAGCUAAUGGAGGGCGAAUUCUACAAAAAUAGUUUAAACAGUGCCAGCUUUCCGAAGCAAGAGGAGGGUCCGUGGCCAGCAUAGACCCUAAGGAUUCACAGCUGCAGAUGUCAAUUGGAAGAGAAGUCAUCAUCUCUCAUGUUUGCGGUAUUGAGGAGACUCCUCUGCAAAGUGCGAUAGCUGUAUGUCAUGUGGAGGCUUCAGGACAAAGCUAUCAGAAUGAAGGAGGUAAGUUUGACCUCUGACCCCCCAGGUCUGUGUGUUCCUCUUCUCUGCAGUUACAGAUGUGAUCACUCAUGUUGGCUUAUUAUUGUACACUUCUCUGUUGUCGUUCAUCCCUGGAGCAGAAGGUUCUGCAAAGUGCCAUUGCUGUCCAGGGUGUUUCUGGCAUAUGAACAGUGCUAAGGGGUUGGUAGUAUUUACUGAGGCCUGGGAGAUAAGGGC